rnacentral:rRNA from 1 species
CCCCUGUGAGGAAGGUACCCCGGAACUGGGGAUAAUACCUCAUAGACCAGGGAUGCUGGAAUGCUUUCUGGUCGAAAGGUCCGCCGCCUCAGGAUGGGUCUGCGGCCGAUUAGGUUGUUGUUGGGGUAACGGCCCAACAAGCCUUUGAUCGGUACGGGUUGUGGGAGCAAGAGCCCGGAGAUGGAUUCUGAGACACGAAUCCAGGCCCUACGGGGCGCAGCAGGCGCGAAAACUUUACAAUGCGAGAAAUCGUGAUAAGGGAACCCCGAGUGCCCGUAAAUCCGGGCUGUCCACCAGUGUAAAUAACUGGUGAAGAAAGGGCCGGGCAAGACCGGUGCCAGCCGCCGCGGUAAUACCGGCGGCUCGAGUGGUGGCCGCUAUUACUGGGCUUAAAGCGUUCGUAGCUGGGCUGUUAAGUCCCCUGGGAAAUCCACCGGCUCAACCGAUGGGCGUUCAGGGGAUACUGGCAGCCUAGGGACCGGGAGAGGUGAGGGGUACUCCAGGGGUAGGAGUGAAAUCCUGUAAUCCUUGGGGGACCACCUGUGGCGAAGGCGUCUCACUAGAACGGCUCCGACAGUGAGGAACGAAAGCUGGGGGAGCAAGCCGGAUUAGAUACCCGGGUAGUCCCAGCUGUAAACGAUGCGCGUUAGGUGUAUCGGUGACCACGAGUCACCGAGGUGCCGAAGAGAAAUCGUGAAACGUGCCGCCUGGGAAGUACGGUCGCAAGGCUGAAACUUAAAGGAAUUGGCGGGGGAGCAC